AUGGGCGAGGAUUUCGAAGAGUAUGCCGAGAAGGCAAAGGCCUUGCCCGAGACCCAGAGCACCAGCAAUGAAGACAAGCUUAUCCUCUAUGGACUCUUCAAGCAUGCCACUGUUGGGGUUGCGAAUACAGCUCGGCCUGGUAUGUGCAACAUGAGGGAGAGGGCCAAAUGGGAUGCAUGGGAAGCUGUUAAAGACAAAUCUAAAGAAGAAGCCAUGAACGACUACAUUACCAAGGUGAAGCAGCUCCAGGAGGAGGCAGCUGCUGCAGGCGCCUGUUAA
rnacentral:rRNA from 1 species